UAAUACGUAGGGUGCGAGCGUUAAUCGGAAUUACUGGGCGUAAAGCGUGCGCAGGCGGUUUCGUAAGCUGGAGGUGAAAUCCCCGGGCUUAACCUGGGAAUGGCCUUCAGGACUGCGAGGCUAGAGUGCGGCAGAGGGAGGUGGAAUUCCACGUGUAGCAGUGAAAUGCGUAGAGAUGUGGAGGAACACCGAUGGCGAAGGCAGCCUCCUGGGCCAGCACUGACGCUCAUGCACGAAAGCGUGGGGAGCAAACAGG
rnacentral:rRNA from 1 species